AUCACUUUUUGGCUCUCUGUGAACUAAGAUCAAGCAUAGUAUGUGUUCUCAUCAGUGUAAUAUCUGAUAUGUCUUUUAUUUGAGGACUGUCUAUUAAAUUGAUUGUUGAAAUGGGGGGCUGGACUGGGAGCUUGCUUUGUCCACCCCAUGCAUCAACCUGGUAUUGCAGUGUCUCCAGGACUGGUGAACCUCCU